rnacentral:rRNA from 1 species
ACUCCUACGGGAGGCAGCAGUGGGGAAUUUUGCGCAAUGGGGGAAACCCUGACGCAGCAACGCCGCGUGAGUGAUGAAGGCCUUCGGGUCGUAAAGCUCUGUCAGAGGGAAAGAAAUGUAGUUGUGCUAAUACCAUGAUUACUUGACGGUACCCUCAAAGGAAGCACCGGCUAACUCCGUGCCAGCAGCCGCGGUAAUACGGAGGGUGCAAGCGUUGUUCGGAAUUAUUGGGCGUAAAGCGCGUGUAGGCGGUUUGUUAAGUCUGAUGUGAAAGCCCCGGGCUCAACCUGGGAAGUGCAUUGGAAACUGGCAGACUUGAAUACGGGAGAGGGUAGUGGAAUUCCUAGUGUAGGAGUGAAACCCGUAGAUAUUAGGAGGAACACCGGUGGCGAAGGCGGCUGCCUGGACCGAUAUUGACGCUGAGACGCGAAAGCGUGGGGAGCAAACAGGAUUAGAUACCCUGGUAGUCCACGCCGUAAACGAUGAGAACUAGGUGUCGCGGGUA